CAACUUUUAACAACGGAUCUCUUGGUUCUCGCAUCGAUGAAGAACGCAGCAAAGUGCGAUAACUAGUGUGAAUUGCAUAUUCAGUGAAUCAUCGAGUCUUUGAACGCAACUUGCGCUCAUUGGUAUUCCAAUGAGCACGCCUGUUUCAGUAUCAAAA
rnacentral:rRNA from 1 species